rnacentral:rRNA from 1 species
GAGGAGAGGACCGGAGUGGACGAACCUCUGGUGUUCCGGUUGUCACGCCAGUGGCAUUGCCGGGUAGCUAUGUUCGGAAGCGAUAACCGCUGAAAGCAUCUAAGCGGGAAGCGCGCCUCAAGAUGAGAUCUCCCGGGGCACAAGCCCCCUGAAGGAACCAUGUAGACUACGUGGUUGAUAGGUCAGGUGUGUAAGUACAGCAAUGUAUUGAGCUAACUGAUACUAAUGAUCCGUGCGGCUUGACCAU